rnacentral:rRNA from 1 species
UUGGGGAGAAUUAGGGUUCGAUUCCGGAGAGGGAGCCUGAGAGAUGGCUACUACUUCCAAGGAAGGCAGCAGGCGCGCAAAUUACCCAAUGAUAAUUCAUCGAGGUAGUGACAAUAAAUAACAAUGUGGGACUCGAUAAGGGUCUCACAAUUGGAAUGAGUACAAGUUAAAAAGAUUAACGAGGAACAAUUGGAGGGCAAGUCUGGUGCCAGCAGCCGCGGUAAUUCCAGCUCCAAUAGCGUAUAUUAAAGUUGUUGCGGUUAAAAAGCUCGUAGUUGAAACGAGGGAUGUGGUAAUAGAAUCGGUCUGCGGGGAUGGUGUGUACUGUUCGACCUUUCUCGAUAGUGUGUUUCUGGGAUUGCUGCCUUCUGCUCUUAAUUGAGUGGGGGGUUUGCUCCAGAUCGUUUACUUUGAAAAAAUUAGAGUGUUUAAAGCAGGCUACAUUAAUGUAUGCCAAUGAAUAGAUUAGCAUGGGAUAAUAGAAUAAGACAUCACGGUUUACUAUUAGGGUUUUGUAUAGUGGGCUAAUUAGGUGUAAUGAUUAAUAGAGAUAGUCGGGGGUAUUCAUAUUUAAUUGUCAGAGGUGAAAUUCUUGGAUUUAUGAAAGAUGAACUUAUGCGAAAGCAUCUAUCAAGGAUGUUUUCAUUAAUCAAGAUCGAAAGUUAGGGGAUCGAAGACGAUCAGAUACCGUCGUAGUCUUAACUAUAAACUAUGCGGACCGGAGAUUAUGAGACGUUACAUGGAUGACUCCCAUAGCAUCUUGUGAGAAAUCACGAGUUUUUGCGUUCUGGGGGGAGUAUGGUCGCAAGGCUGAAACUUAAAGGAAUUGACGGAAAGGCACCACCAGGAGUGGAACCUGCGGCUUAAUUUGACCCAACACGGGGAAACUCACCAGGUCCAGACAUAGUAAGGAUUGACAGAUUGAGAGCUCUUUCUUGAUUCUAUGGGUGGUGGUGCAUGGCCGUUCUUAGUUGGUGGAGUGAUUUGUCUGGUUGAUUCCGAUAACGAACGAGACCUCAGCCUACUAAAUAGUUACUGAAAUCGUCUUUAACAAGGAGUGAAGGCGAGAGACUAGGGGGGCGUUUAACCUCUCUAGUAACUCGUUGGAUCUCUUGAUGUAUUUACGGGAUAUACUUCUUAGAGGGACACGUGUAUGUUUAAUCACGGGAAGUUUGAGGCAAUAACAGGUCUGUGAUGCCCUUAGAUGUUCUGGGCCGCACGCGCGUUACACUGAACUGAUCAACGAGUAUACCACCUGGAUCGAUGGGUCCGGGUAAUCUUAUGAAAUCAGUUCGUGCUGGGGAUAGAUGUUUGCAAUUAUUCGUCUUCAACGAGGAAUUCCUAGUAAGCGCAAGUCAUCAACUUGCGCUGAUUACGUCCCUGCCUUUUGUACACACCGCCCGUCGCUCCUACCGAUUGAAUGAUCCGGUGAAACCUUCGGAUUGUGGCGUAUACCGUUUGGGGAAACCUAGAUGGCAACGUUUACGAGAAGUUGGUUAAACCUUAUUAUUUAGAGGAAGGAGAAGUCGCAACAAGGUU